rnacentral:rRNA from 1 species
AUUGAACGCUGGCGGCAUGCCUUACACAUGCAAGUCGAACAGCAGCGCGGACUUCGGUCAGGCGGCGAGUGACGAACGGGUGAGUAAUACAUCGGAACGUACCCUGUUGUGGGGGAUAACUAGUCGAAAGAUUAGCUAAUACCGCAUACGACCUGAGGGUGAAAGUGGGGGACCGCAAGGCCUCACGCAGCAGGAGCGGCCGAUGUCUGAUUAGCUAGUUGGUGGGGUAAAGGCCCACCAAGGCGACGAUCAGUAGCUGGUCUGAGAGGACGAUCAGCCACACUGGGACUGAGACACGGCCCAGACUCCUACGGGAGGCAGCAGUGGGGAAUUUUGGACAAUGGGGGCAACCCUGAUCCAGCAAUGCCGCGUGUGUGAAGAAGGCCUUCGGGUUGUAAAGCACUUUUGUCCGGAAAGAAAUCGCGCUGGUUAAUACCUGGCGUGGAUGACGGUACCGGAAGAAUAAGCACCGGCUAACUCUGUGCCAGCCGCCGCGGUAA